rnacentral:rRNA from 1 species
GAUGAACGCUAGCUACAGGCUUAACACAUGCAAGUCGAGGGGCAGCACGGAGAUAGCUUGCUAUCUUGGGUGGCGACCGGCGCACGGGUGAGUAACGCGUAUCCAACCUGCCCAUUACUCUGGGAUAGCCUUGCGAAAGUAAGAUUAAUACCGGAUGUUGUUAAAAACCCGCAUGAGUUUUUAACCAAAGAUUUAUUGGUAAUGGAUGGGGAUGCGUGACAUUAGGUAGUUGGUGAGGUAACGGCUCACCAAGCCGACGAUGUCUAGGGGUUCUGAGAGGAAGGGCCCCCACACUGGAAAUGAGAAACGGGCCAGACUCCUACGGGAGGCAGCAGUGAGGAAUAUUGGUCAAUGGACGAGAGUCUGAACCAGCCAAGUAGCGUGCAGGAUGACGGCCCUCUGGGUUGUAAACUGCUUUUAGUUGGGAAUAAAAAGAGGGACGUGUCCCUAAUUGUGUGUACCAUCAGAAAAAGGACCGGCUAAUUCCGUGCCAGCCGCCGCGGUAAUAC